UACAGAGGUCUCAAGCGUUGUUCGGAUUCAUUGGGCGUAAAGGGUGCGUAGGCGGCGCGGUAAGUCGGGUGUGAAAUCUCGGGGCUUAACUCCGAAACUGCAUUCGAUACUGCCGUGCUUGAGGACUGGAGAGGAGACUGGAAUUUACGGUGUAGCGGUGAAAUGCGUAGAUAUCAAGAGGAACACCUGCGGCGAAGGCGGGUUGCUGGGCCGACACUGACGGCUGAGGCGCGAAAGCCAGGGGAGCGAACGGG
rnacentral:rRNA from 1 species